GUGAGGAAUAUUGGUCAAUGGGCGGAAGCCUGAACCAGCCAUCCCGCGUGGAGGAAGACGGCCCUAUGGGUUGUAAACUUCUUUUCAAGGGGAAGAAAGUUCGCGACGUGUCGCGAUUUGCCGGUACCUUUGGAAUAAGCAUCGGCUAACUCCGUGCCAGCAGCCGCGGUAAUACGGAGGAUGCGAGCGUUAUCCGGAUUUAUUGGGUUUAAAGGGUGCGUAGGCCGAUCGAUAAGUCAGCGGUGAAAUACCAUGGCCCAACCAUGGAACUGCCGUUGAUACUGUCGGUCUUGAAUAUGGUCAAGGUAGGCGGAAUGUGUAAUGUAGCGGUGAAAUGCUUAGAUAUUACACAGAACACCGAUUGCGAAGGCAGCUUACUGGUCCAUUAUUGACGCUGAGGCACGAAAGCGUGGGGAUCGAACAGGAUUAGAUACCCCGGUAGUCC
rnacentral:rRNA from 1 species